rnacentral:rRNA from 1 species
GCCAGCAGCCAUAUCACCCUGCAACUCACAGCUGGCAGCCCACUGAAGCUCAGCAGGUGUGAGCCUGGUCAGUACCUGGAUGGGAGACCUCCUGGCAACCUCCAGUUGCUGCUGGAA